UACGGAGGGUGCGAGCGUUGUCCGGAAUCACUGGGCGUAAAGGGCGCGUAGGUGGCCGAGCAAGGUCGCGGUGAAAGCCCGGGGCUCAACCCCGGGUCGGCCGUGGCAACUACUGGGCUGGAGCACUGUAGGGGCGGGUGGAAUUCCGGGUGUAGCGGUGGAAUGCGUAGAGAUUGGCAGGAACACCCAGGGGGAAACCAGUCGACUGGGCAUCUACUGACGCUGAGGUGCGAGAGCGUGGGGAGCGAACCGG
rnacentral:rRNA from 1 species